rnacentral:rRNA from 1 species
UACAGAGGGGGCAAGCGUUGUUCGGAAUUACUGGGCGUAAAGGGCGCGUAGGCGGCCGCCUAAGUCAGACGUGAAAUCCCUCGGCUCAACCGGGGAACUGCGUCUGAUACUGGGUGGCUUGAAUCCGGGAGAGGGAUGUGGAAUUCCAGGUGUAGCGGUGAAAUGCGUAGAUAUCUGGAGGAACACCGGUGGCGAAGGCGGCAUCCUGGACCGGUAUUGACGCUGAGGCACGAAAGCGUGGGGAGCAAACAGG